rnacentral:rRNA from 1 species
AGAGUUUGAUCCUGGCUCAGAGCGAACGCUGGCGGCGUGCUUAACACAUGCAAGUCGAGUGCGCGUUUCCGUAGCAAUACGGAAAUGGCGCACGGCGCACGGGUGCGUAACACGUGGGCAAUCUGCCCUUCGAUGGGGAAUAACCUCGCGAAAGCGAGGCUAAUUCCGCAUAACAUUCCGAUGACUAACGUCAAUGGAUUCAAAGCCGUAAGGCGUCGAAGGAGGAGCCCGCGCACGAUUAGCUAGUUGGUGAGGUAACGGCUCACCAAGGCUAUGAUCGUUAGCUGGUCUGAGAGGAUGGCCAGCCACACUGGAACUGAGACACGGUCCAGACUCCUACGGGAGGCAGCAGUGGGGAAUCUUGCACAAUGGGCGAAAGCCUGAUGCAGCGACGCCGCGUGGGGGAUGAAGCUUUUCGGAGUGUAAACCCCUUUCGACCCGGACGAAUGCCCCGCAAGGGGACUGACGGUACGGGUAUAAGAAGCCCCGGCUAACUACGUGCCAGCAGCCGCGGUAAGACGUAGGGGGCCAGCGUUGCUCGGAAUUACUGGGUGUAAAGGGUUCGUAGGCGGUGCGGCAAGUCGGGAGUGAAAUCUCUGGGCUCAACCCAGAGGCUGCUUCCGAAACUGCUGUGCUUGAGUGUGGGAGAGGCGCGUGGAAUUGCAGGUGUAGCGGUGAAAUGCGUAGAUAUCUGCAGGAACACCCGUGGCGAAAACGGCGCGCUGGACCACAACUGACGCUGAGGAACGAAAGCUAGGGGAGCAAACAGGAUUAGAUACCCUGGUAGUCCUAGCCCUAAACGAUCAGGACUUGGGGUGCUUCACGUUCGUGGAGCGUCCCGGAGCUAACGCGUUAAGUCCUGCACCUGGGGAGUACGGUCGCAAGACUGAAACUCAAAGGAAUUGACGG